CAUCAAGGUCUUAUACAUCAAGGGAGAAGUGUCGGAGUUAGAUUUUUAUUUCAUAAUCAUUGAAUAUAUAAAAAUGAUAAUAAUUUAAUAUACUUUCACAACUUUUCGGAAUUUGAGCCUUUUUAUGUUUUCUAUAAGCUUGAUUUUGACAUUACGGUCGGAAAUAAUUCCUUCCUGCUUGAAAUUAACUCCUACAACGGUUUUCUUUAUAAGUACAAAGGCUUUGAGCAUCUGUUAGUGCAAUAUCCUCCAAAAAAAUAUAUAGUUUUGCGUCAUGCUCGCGGUAUAUCAACAGGGAUUAUUUAUAAUCAAACACCGUCUUUGGUGAAACUAAAGAAACACCAAGCAGACUUUCAAUGUGAAGAUGGCAAUCCAGUUUGGUUGAAAAAAGGAUUUCGGG